rnacentral:misc_RNA from 1 species
UUGAAUGAACUUGGUGUGGUUGUUGCUGGCCUCCUUGGGGGCAUGUGCACACUCGCCAUCCUCAUCUCUCCACCUGUGCACCUUUUGUAGACCUGGAUUAAUUUUCCGAGGCAACUCGGUCGGGAAGAUUGUUGUGCUCUGCGAGCCGGCUUUCUUUGCAUGUCCAGGCCUAUGUUUUUCAUAUACACCAUAAAAUGUAACAGAAUGUAUUAUUGGGCCCUUGUGCCUAUAAACCUUAUA